UUUUUUUUUGAAUAAGUGACCCGUUAUUUGUGUCUUUCUCAUGUUUGUAUCUGUGCCUCGUGGUUGAAGGCCAUGGGCGGAAAUUCAUUGUUGAGUGUUGUGUCCACGCUUAGGAUAGACUAUUCUAGUUAGUUUUGAGUGGCAAGAAUGCUUGCAAUGGAGAUGGAUGAUCGGAGGCUUGUGAUUUUCUACUUCUUGCAAACUUUUGUUUGUUGUUUCUCAUCCUUGGUGCUUACUAACUACUAUUUUUCAUUAUUGGAUGACUUUUCAGUCUUAUCAGCAGCAACCUGAUGCUAGUUUUGGAUUAGCCCGGCCCCGAUGAGGGGCUUGGGCCGUGCCUGCACCCUGCCAGUAGACUGUCCUGUCUUAAAUCACGAGGCUGCUAGGGCAGCACGUUUACCCCAACUGGACAAGGUGCAGGCAUAAGCAACCGAGAUGUGCUGAAUGGACAUUAGCAUCAUCUUAAUCCAUCUUUGAUCCGUCCCCAAGUCUCGGUUAAAUAGAGCUUCAUUCGUGUUUGAUGGAGUUCAUUUGGUGUGUUAGGACAAUUGAUUGGAUGAGUUCCCUAGAACUCUUCCUUGCACCGUAUGAUGACGAAAUCAGAAUAGGAAGAGAAAUUAUCGGAGCAGUGAAGGUGACUUAAAGUUGGGCAAAGGAGCUACAUUACCAUUAUGCCCGAUGAUUGUUG